GACGAACGCUGGCGGCGUGCCUAAUACAUGCAAGUAGAACGCUGAAGGAGGAGCUUGCUUCUCUGGAUGAGUUGCGAACGGGUGAGUAACGCGUAGGUAACCUGCCUGGUAGCGGGGGAUAACUAUUGGAAACGAUAGCUAAUACCGCAUAAUAGUAGAUGUUGCAUGACAUUUGCUUAAAAGUUGCAAUUGCAUCACUACCAGAUGGACCUGCGUUGUAUUAGCUAGUUGGUGAGGUAACGGCUCACCAAGGCAACGAUACAUAGCCGACCUGAGAGGGUGAUCGGCCAAACUGGGACUGAGACACGGCCCAGACUCCUACGGGAGGCAGCAGUAGGGAAUCUUCGGCAAUGGACGGAAGUCUGACCGAGCAACGCCGCGGGAGUGAAGAAGGGUUUCGGAUCGUAAAGCUCUGUUGUAAGAGAAGAAAGAGUGUGAGAGUGGAAAGUUCACACUGUGACGGUAUCUUAACAGAAAGGGACGGCUAACUACGUG
rnacentral:rRNA from 1 species